GGUCUGCAAUGGGCCUGCUGCAACUGACAAGGACGGCUGGAGUCAGCUGGAGGACACUGUGCUCACUUGCACAACCUAAUAACAGUUCUCACAACAACGCAAAACAAACGCACUGCUACUAGUCUGAAGAAGGGUCUCGACCCAAAACGUCACCAAUUUCUACUCUCCAGAGAUGCUGCCUGCCCUGCUGAGUUACUCCAGCAUUUUGUGUCUACCUACUUUCAGCUUGAUUCAGGAAUGCAUGGAAUAACUGAAGGCAGAGGAGAGAUUUCUCACAGAAGAAAAGAUGAUCAGACCAUUUCCAGUUGAUCUUCUCUUCAUUAGAAAAGUGGAGCUGUUUGCUUAUGAUUCUACUGUGUUCAUCUUCAUUCAAAUUCACCCAUUAAUAAAAUAAAUAAUAGCAAUUUAAAGCAGGACUUCAUAUAAUAUCCAGACUUACGGCAUUGAGUUCUGGGUAAUGUCCAUGGGCUAAAUUGAAGAAGAGAAACGCCAGACAUCUCACCUUGACCUUCAAAGUCAUCAGCGUAGCCAAAAUCUCAAUACAACAUCUUGGGAAUCACCAUUUAUCAGAAGCUUAACUGGUUGCCAAUCAUUCAUUGAUUCAAUUAUAUUUUAUUGUCACAUGUACCUAGGCACAGUGAAAGGCAUUGUUUCGCAAACAACCCGGUGAUAUCAUUUAGAAGACUUCACCUAAGCAGUACACAAGAGUCACCAUGUUUCUAGCACUGCCAAAGUUACAAAAAUUCAUUGAACCGUCCUAUCUUCUGCCUGCCAACGCACGUGGCAGCAGGCAGCACUCCGAGGAUCCCCACUUCGUUCUUAACGGCCCCAUAACAGGUCUCCCCUUUGUUCUCUGCUGUCCGCCCCACCCCACCUCAAGAGGAGUUUGAAUAGAUUUUGUUGCAGCUUAUUUUAAAGAACCAAUAACAUUUUAUACUUGGACAAUUAUUUUCAACAACCAAAAUGCUGAGCCAUAGUCGUCGACAGAUAAUUUAUUGCAUCCAUCAAUAAGAACAGCAAUUUACAAAACUUUGGCUGGUAUAGCUAAAUUAACAAUAAUGGGUGGAGACUUUUAGAAAUACAUAUAUUUUCAAAGAGUAAUAAACCAAGGGAGGUAAUGGGUUGCAGUUUUCCCUUCAGUUUUCUACCUCCUCUAAUGGUAACUCAUGGGCUUUAUCAACAACAGCAUAAGAAUGUACUAAUCGUAAUGAGAUUUUGAUGUUAUCAGAACAGUUUACAAAAAGGAAAUGAGAAUUUUCCAUUUAUUAAAGUGAGGGGUUGCUGUGCAGUUGGAUUUGGAAAUUCAAAGUACAAGUCCCCCUUGUACUAUAUAUUUAUCUACAGCACAGUUAGUGCAAGAUUUUUUGUUGUUUCCUUCUCCUACCUUAAGCGCAGCUCAGCUUUCGCCCUCAAGCACUUGGGUAAUUCCAUUUUCUGCACCAGCAUCCUCGUGCUUUACAAGGAUUAGACAGAUGUAAUGGGCACCUUUUGUAACAUAGAUCCUUAUUUGGAGGAAAGAACUGCAGAUGCUGGUUAAAAUCAAAGGUAGACACAAAAUGCUGGAGUAACUCAGCAGGACAGGCAGCAUCUCUGGAAAGAAGGAAUGGCAGAGAAGGAAUGGGUUAGAAGGAAUGGGUGACCUGAGUCUGAACAAGUGUCUCGACCCGAAACAUCACCCAUUCCUUCUCUCCAGAGAUGCUGCCUGUCCCGCUGAGUUACUCCAGCAUUUUGUUUCUACCUUCGAUUCUUAUUUGGAACCCACUGAAAGUAUCCAGUACGCUGCUUUUACUUAGAAUCAUCGCAGAUAUAGGAGAUGAGAAAAUACAAAAGGGACACAAGUGCUGGAGUAACUCGGCAGGUCAGGCAGCAUCUUUGGAGAACAUGGAUAAGUAAAGUUUCGGGUUGAGACCCACUGAACCCAAAAGGUCAACUAUUCAUAUUGUCUGCAGAGAUGCGGCCUGGCCUACCAAGUUACUCCAGUACUUUAUAUACUUUUUUGUAUUAGGCAGCAUCAGCAGUGCUUUAUUUCUACAUGGCAGAUAAGAGACUUUCAAUCAAUCCACAGGUGUUUCCAGUAAUGCACCACAGUUACAUUCUGGGAGGUUUUACAACCAAUUAGAAGUGAAACCAUUUUCUGACAUGAUUCUAUAAGUUCCCCUCAAAACAUUGAGGGGCGGAUAGCACCUUACCCCAUUCUAAAUUAUAAUUAUAGCAUUUACAAUAAGGGAAAUCUGCAAAGAAAAAGGAGGAAAUAAAAUAAAUAAUGGGGAGAAAUUAGUUAAGGGGCUGUCCCACUUGGGCGACCUAAUUCGCGAGUUCUGGCGAGUUUGCCCUCGACUCGUACACGCAGCAUGGUCGACACGAGGUCGUAGGAGGUUUUUAUAACUCCCCUUCAUGCUUGAGAGUGGUCCCCGUGUACUCGAGGCCACAGCUUGGUCGCGACGUAUUUUUCAACAUGUUGAAAAAUGCCCGCGAGUAAAAAAAGGUCGCCAUGGAAAAAAAUCGAUACUUUUUUUACUCGUAGGUUUAGUCGUAGUAGGUCGUAGUAGGUCGGCAUGUUAGUCGUAGGUAAUCGAGGGUAGUCGAAGGUAGUCGUUGAUAGUCUUCAUCAUAGUCGAAGGGAGGUCUGAGGAGAUCGAAGGAGGUCAUCUUCACUCUCCACUAUUCAGUGUCCAAUUUUCCAGAAGUUAGUCCUAAGUAGUCCUCAACAUAGUCAAAGGAGGUCUUCUACAUGGUCUUCAACAUGACAUAUUUUCAAACUCUCCUAAACUCUUCUAAACUCGCCAAUUAGGUCGCCCAAGUGCAACAGCCCCUUUAUAUGAAUGUUGUCAAAGAAGCUCCACGUUCAUACAAAAUGAAUGGCAGAUUCUGUUUGUCGCAUACAUGAUGUGAUGCGAAGGAUGAUUCAGGGAAUAUCAUGACGAAAAUAGUAUAUUUUUUCAGGCUUUGUUCCUUAUCCAGAUAAAAGUAAAAUAAAUAAUCACAAAGAGAAAGCCACUUUAAACAUACCACGGGGAGUGGGUAUGGAGGGGAGGGAGAAAUUGACCAGAUCCAAUUCAUACAGGUCGUGAAAUUCAACAUUUUUUGGUAAUAAACAAUGGAAGAAUAAAUCUUGGAAUCAAUGAGCAUACAGUUGUAUUCUUCACAUCUGUUCAUGCCAGUGUUGCAUUUCAAUUUUGAUUUUUAAUUCAAAUUUAUUUGCAUCAGGUUAUAAAUCUCAUUAUACGCAUGACAAUAAUUCAUAAUUCCAGUAGGGGUCAGUGCUAAGCAAAACGGUUCCUUAUGUUCUGAGACUUUGUGACUUCAAUGAAUGAUAUAUGAAGAACAUACAUUUGGGUGAUCAGUUACAUGAGUUACUGUGCUAGUCAGCAUAAUCAUUUACAUGCUUUAGAUACUGUCUGGGAAGGAACUUAGCAAAGCCUGGCCUGUGACCUUUUAAACGCCUGGGUCUGUUUAAAGUGACAGAGAAAAAUUAGAAGCAUGCAAACCGGUUGCUUGGGACAUUCUCGAUUGAUGAUUAAGUAAUCUACAUCCGUUGCCUGCAGCCACUUUGCCACCCACAACUACUCACUUGUACUGCUCUCUAGGGCCGACUAGUAGCACUUGUACUGGACCCAGUGUCUCUGGAGUGUGGAGGGAGCAGCUGAGGCCAAUCGGCAGCGUGGCUUCAAACUAGGGAGCCACUUCAGAAAGCCAUUUUUGGUUCUGAUUUGUAAAAACAUCAUUUAUACAGACAAGUAUGGGGAACGUGCAGCUUCUUCGUAAACUAGCGUAGUAAUGUGGUAAAACAUUCCAAGGAACAUCGUCAAACAAUGUUUGUCACUGAACCACGGUGAUCGCUUGGUCUCAGAACAAUAUUUCAAGGAGCAUCUUGAUGCUGCAGAGAUCCGUAAGCGGUGUGGAAAAUUCUAAGGAGAAAUCUCUAUUGCUUAUGCUGAAGGCAGCUGUAGCAUAGGCAAUAAUGUUUGGAGGGAAUGAAAUCGUGGAUGUGCAACAGUCCCAGUGGAGGAAAUGAAGGUCACAGAUCUGGAAACAUUAAAAAUAAGACAAGGGGGAGGUGUGAAAAUGAUAUAUGAAAACAGAGAUGGGAAUUUUAAAGUUGAGAUAAUGCCAGCAUUUAUUAGUGAAUAUGGGGAUGGUAUAUGAACAGUAAUUUUUGUGAGUUAGUGUAUAGGCUUCAGUUGCUCCAAAGUUUAUGGAGGUCGCUAGCCUGGAGGAUCCAUUGCAAUGGUCCAAAUGGUGAAAAUGGGGUAGAGCUGUGGAGGAUUGUCUCCCAGCAUUCCAAGCCGAGCAAGGGUCACAGUGCAUGAAGGGCCAAAGGCUAACGGUGGGAAUUUGAAGGUACCAGUAUUGAGUGAGCAGAUGGUUCUUUGAAUGAAAUGUUAGGAAGACUAAAUGCAUUGGGGCAGUUGUCCAGCAGGCCCAGGUUGUGGUUUUCCUUGAUGACCCUAACUCCAAGUACACCAGCAAGGAGUGUGAUGGAUCUCUCAAUGCAAGAGGCUGACAGUAAUGACAAGGAUGUUAAACUAAACACACAUACACACACAGUUAAACAUUUAAACUAGCUUUUUAAAAACCCAAUAAAGACCUUUUCAUACUAUUGUCCCAGCGACUCUUCGCAGUAAUUGAAAUUGGCCCAUUCUACUUGUGUUGAGGUAACCUGGUGCAGGCUCUUUGGGUUACUCCUAGGGAUAUCUGCACACAUUCCUGUUAUAUAGAAACAUAGAAAUAUAGAAAAUAGGUGCAGGAGUAGACCACUCGGCCCUUCGAGCCUGCACCGCCAUUCAAUAUAAUCAUAGCUGAUCAUCCAAUUCGGUAUCCUGUACCUGCCUUCUCUUCAUACCCCCUGCUCCCUUUAGCCACAAGGGCCACAUCCAACUCCCUCUUAAAUAUAGCCAAUGAACUGGCCUCAACUACCUUCUGUGGCAGAGAGUUCCAGAGAUUCACCACUGUUCUUCCAAUCGGCUCUGUGAGGUGUCCAACCAUGCAGUGGAGAAGUCCUGCAGCAGCUGCUUUGCUGGGCGGAAGGCUGCACUACAACCUCCAUCCAGGAAUUGUCCAGAGAUGGACUCUUGCACCAGCUGACCUGUCGUGGCAGAAAAAUUGUGCAUUGGCUUUAGCUCCCAGCACAAACUCACAAAUUCCUCUCCAUUAUCGCAGUAUGAGGCCAAACAAAAUAAUCUGCAAUCAGACAAUUGGGGAUUGGCAAUAAGUAAAUGCCAGAUUCUAUAAAAUGAAAUUUUUAAUAAUCAUAGUAGAGGCCAUGGCUUAUCAAAGAGAGUACCGCUGGUAUCUGUGUGCUUGUCUCUGUAGCGCAUGCAAAUGCUAUUAUUUGGACAGGCAGCAGAAGCCAGAGAAUUCAGAACACUGAUUCAGGUAAACAUAUCGGUUAUAAAAAUGGGCAAGACUGCAUGUUAUUUCACAACCAAGAAGGAAAUAAAUAUUUGCCUCUUGUGCAUUUGCCAGUUUUUCUCCCUUCCCUCCCGCACUGCACUGUCCAGCACAAAGUGUAGACAGAUCUUAUACAUCCGAGCAAGGUCCACAGAGCACAAUGUCCCGCAAAGUAAAAGGUAGCAUCUGCAGAAAGACAAAGGCACUUCCACCUGUUUAGUUAUCUCUGUUUCUCUUCCUACAGAUGUUCAUAAAUUCUCGGGAGCAGAAUUAGGCCAUUCUGCCCAUCAAGCCUCCUCUGCCAUUCAAUCAUGGCUGAUCUAUCUUUCCCUCUCAACCCCAUUCUUCUGCCUUCUCCCCAUAACCCCUGACACACUGAACAGGCUCCUGCUUAAACAAUGCUCCUGCUUAAACAAUGCAUGGAAUUUAAUGUGUAGGAAGGAACUUCAGAUGUGGGUUUAAACCGAAGAUAGACACAAAAUGCUGGAGUAUCUCAGCGGGACAGGCAGCAUCUCUGGAGAGAAAAAGUGGGUGAUAUUUUGGGUUGAGCCCCUUCUUCAGACUGAUGUCAAGGGAGAAGGACAUACAUAGAUA